GCGCGAUAGUAAAGUGGAGACUGCUCCACGACAGACACAACUGCAUCAUACUCGGCAGCAUGCUAACGCUAAGCUAGCCAAGAACCCAGAGUGACGUUAAAGCUGACCCCAGACCAGCACCUGAACAGGAUUCCACAGAGUCAACCAAACGUAGUUGUGGAGGUAGACUGUUCCACAGCCUUGGUGCCACAGACUGAAAGGCUCCGCCCCCUUUCCUCUUCAGUCGUGUUCGGGGAGCAACCAACAAACUCUGUUUCUGAGCAGAGACAACGAGCAGCAGUGUAUUUUGUGAGAAGCCUGGAUAAAUCAUCUGGGGCCUGGCCAUGUACUGCUCGAGCACUUUCAUAAUCACUUUGCAAAUGAUGGGCUCCCCUCGGCCACCCACGGAGCCAUCGCCAGCUCUAAGGCUUGCAUCAUUCUGUGUCUGCAGCACGCUGCUCUAUAUGUUCUAUCGGUCUGGCGUUGGCAUGAGCUCACCACCCUGGAGGAGGUGAUCAGUGACUGCUCUUAAUCAUGGACUCCCAC
ensembl:lncRNA